ACUGGAUACAUGAUGUGUUAUUAAACUGCGUUAUCUAUCUGCAACUUCCUUUUAUUUGGAAUUGAAGAAAAUUGGAGCAUCAAUGAUGAGUAAACCUUGU